GGCCCUGUCCCUCUCUCUACCUCGUUCCUUCUCUCUAUCACUCUCUCCUACUUUACUUCUUCCCUCCCUCGAGUCUCCCACAAUUGGCAGACUGUUUGACUCCGUAUCGCUCUUCUUCACAUCUGUAGCCAUUUCAUGAGGUGUGUUAUUCUUUCCAUCCUUAGACUCGUUAUUAACAGAUCCUGAAGUACCCUUCGUAUCAACAGCACCGUCAACUGCCGGUGAAACAUCCUGUAACACAGUGGCAAAGUACAUCAAACCAAAAACUGAUAAAAGGUAAAGCGAAACGCACAAUAUCCAAAGCUAUUCUGUUUGCUCCUUCAAGAAAUGGACUCAACAUGAUAUGGAGAAUAAUCUUAAAGCUUUCGCACAAAUCACAAAAACUUAGAUAACGAGCUAUCAUCUAUCUCACCUUUGUAGCUGAUUGAGAUUGAGAAUUCGCGGAUCUACUGGAAAAGGUAAAAGGCUUCCCAUCCUUGCAAACUGAGAUAUACUGAGCCUUUGGGAGACUGUAUAGAUGAGCAAGAACUCUACACACUUCGUCAAUACCAGAUUUAUCUGCAUCAAAUGCUUUCCACCAGGGUGGAUUCUCUGGGAGAGGAACUUGAAACCUACGUGCAGCAGCAUACACGACCCCACAAGCCACAACCUCACUUCUGAACCUUACACAAAGGGUUGUACGCAGACUGCAUUUAUAGACAUUUAUCACACGGGAUCAAAUGAGAAAACAUCACAGAAGUAAUAAUCAGAUAUUAAGAAAACAACACUACUCAAAACAGAACAGUGCAUAUGUUAUUCCGAGCUUCAGCUCAAAGGCAACUCUAAAACCUAUUGACACAAUGAUGUACAGCUAACUCGAGUAAUCAAAUUUAAAAAUAUCCAAGUAAAAUUAGAGGUUACCUAUCAUUUGCCAAGUUCCAAGCCUCUUGCCUCAAUUCUGGAGGUGUUUCAAGUGUGGCAAGGUAGUUUGAGAUGAACUUGUGAGGAUGUUCAACAUGACAAACAAAACCCAUCUCUUUCAGUAUGUGUCUCUCAGUUCUGCUUAAUUCAACUUUCAACUCAGAAUACUUCUGCAGAAAAUCAACAAGUGGGAAAAGGAUGAGAUACGAAAAUGAUAUAAGAAAAAACACGACAUAUAAAAGAAAAGGCAGUGUCUCAAUUUAAUGCACGCACGACACAUAUAUACAUAAAAAGCAUUCAACAUGACAAAUAUGGAACCUGUCAUAUAAUGGUGCAGUGUGCAUACUAACCUUGGAAAACAAAUCAAGAUGAUCUAAUGGUAAGUUCUCCCUGCGGCACUCCAUCCUGUGGAAGACAAUGAUGACCUGCCUAGCUUUCUUAGGGUUUUCUUCCAACUUUGACGCAAGCCAGACACAGCUCGCAGCAACUAUCUGUAUAAGGUAAACACCAAAACCGUUAUGGUUACAGGCAGGAGGAGUCACAAAAAGUAAAGAAUCUUCACACUGAAACUAAAACCGCAGGUGUUUAUCAAGUUCAAAGGCCUCAAGAAACAGAGAUAAGUAAGUAGUACCUUAACAUCGAACUUGGCAAGAGACUUCUUGCAAUAGAAACGGUGGAAAAGAACCUGCCCAGUAGCCAUAACAGCCUGUGGUCUAAAGAUUCAACAAUAUAAGGGUUAAGGAAUAUCUAAAGUUGUAUGUAAUGUGACAUUUGAGCUAUCAGCAAAAACAUACGGAGACCAAGACGAAGAAAAGGAUACAGUCUGAGCAAGAUUCCAGCUUCUUGGAUGAGAUCACAUCCAUAGAUCCUAAGUGUCGUCUCGGUUGUUUCAUCGAUCCCAUCUUUCCUGGAAGGUGAGUUCUUUAUCUGCUCCUCCGGUAAGUAGAAAUUGUCGAUUGCCGUGUAAAUCAUCGAUUCUGUUACAACCCAUAGAAAGAGGAAAAAAAGACAAGUUAGCUUAGAUUCCGACACACCAUUGAUGUUAGCAGUGAAAAAGCACACAAGAAAAUAAAGAAGUGAUGUUAUCAUGAAUGUAGCAAAAUCGAGAAAGCGUCAAAGCUCCAACGCAAUCAAGAAUCUAGCUUCUUUCACUAAGUCUACUGAUAGCUUAAUUAAAACACGAAAAAGUAUGUACCCGGAAAGGUGAGAGAGACGGCGGCGAGGCGAUUUGAGGGACGACGGACGACGGACGAAGGGAUUCAAUCUGGGGAUCGAGGGAAGUUCUCAGAAAACAUUAAUGUAAAGGAAAUUAGAAAAAGAGCAAACAAAAGAAAUUGGGCCUACUAAUUUAACUAGGCCCUAAUUGGGCUUUAUCAACCAAAAUAAUGUGAUUUAUGAUUGGCCCAAUUAAAAAUGGCAGCGACAGGAUAAAGAAAUUCAGAACAAAACAAAGACUGUUUUAGCUUCCACUUCCAUGGUCGGUCUCGCGCACUGAGAGACGUGAAGCAAGAUACAACACUUGCAAUAAUCCAAAUCCUCCCCAUUUCUUCUGAACCAAAAACCCUAAAACCCACUUACCUUUCUUGUCUCGUCUUUCUCUCUGGAGAUGGCUUCUUCGAUAUCUCUAAGGCCGACGAGCCUUAUCCUCUCAUCAACUUUCUCUACAGGCAGAGUCCUCCACUUCCGCCGCUCCCCUUUCAGCCGCACACCGUCGUCUUCCUCUUGUCGCCAUCGGACUCUGGUUGCUCAAUUCGGAUUGGGACCAGGUUCGUUUCCCGACCCAGGCUUCUCACUCGAUUUGAUCAAGGACCAUGCUGAGAGUCUUCUCUACACCAUCGCUGAUGCCGCCGUUUCGUCCUCAGAAACGUUUGAAUCUGUUUCCGGCACUACCACAAAGCAGAACAGUGAUUGGUUCUCUGGUAUCGCCAAUUACAUGGAAACUAUUCUCAAGGUAAAGUUCUCUUUUUUUUUUUGUGAAUCUAUUAUGUUGCUUUAUAAUUGUACUUGGUUAUGAUUUGAAUUGUAGGUUUUGAAAGAUGGGUUAUCGACAGUAAACGUACCUUACUCUUAUGGUUUUGCUAUCAUUCUACUCACCGUGCUUGUUAAGGCUGCUACGUUCCCCUUGACGAAAAAGCAGGUCUUUUCACUUUGUUUCUAUUACUGGCUAAAUGCCAAGAUUCAAUUAUCUUACUUAAGUGGUGUGGUGGUUCGUUUCUGUACAGGUCGAAUCUGCUAUGGCUAUGAAGUCUUUGCAGCCUCAAAUUAAGGCCAUUCAGGAACGCUAUGCUGGUGAUCAGGUGAAACCAUUUCUUCCAUAAAGAAAAGCUUUUCCUGAUGCCCAUACUAAAUCCAUCAUUAGUUCAUGGAUUUUGAAGGAAAAAAAUGUAGGAACAAGCGUGUAGCUUUUGGUUUCAUCACUGUGGAGUGAUUCUUAUGAAUUUACCAAAGAUUAUAGCUUUAACUUUUAUGAAUGUAGCCCUCUUGUUAAAACAGAGAGCUUGUUUAUGUUUUGCAGGAGAGAAUUCAGCUUGAAACUGCCAGAUUGUAUAAACUCGCUGGAAUAAACCCCCUUGCAGGUAAAGUUGAUUGCUUCAGACUUUUCCAUUUGAGACAGUAGAAACAUAAUCUCUUUCUUAGCGUCUUCCAGCUUGUGGUUAGGCUAUAUCUUCAUUUUUUUUCUUUCUGUUAGGGUGCCUCCCCACACUAGCCACUACUCAAUAAUAUACAAUUUUUGAAUUAUAUACACUGGUUUAUAAUUUUUGUUGACAUAAAUCGACGUGCGUGAUGUUUUGUUGCAGGGCCACUUACCACCACCAUCAAUCAUCAUCAUUAUGGGAGUGAACAGACGGUCAUCGCACCGAAUGCAGACACCGUAACACAGAUACAUAAUGCAAAGUGAUUACUUAUGAAUCCGACUUCAACCAUCACCCUCCAAUCUAUUAUGUUACUAUUCUGUCUCUUUGAUUAUUUGUUGUUGUCGCUUACUAUUUUGGUCUUUCCAUCAUCAUUUGAUUCAGAUCUGUUUAGAUUCGAAUUGAUGAAUUUAGGUUCAGUAUGUGCGUCUGCAUUUGGUUGUGUUUAAACGUUAACUAGGCAUGUGGUACCUCACAUAAUGCUAAAUUGAGUACGCUCAAGAGUGACAUGGGUGUUUCACUGACACAAAUCAAGUACAUGACUCUCAUGUCUAAACAUCAAGCAGAACGUUUAAGGGCUUGUCCCAAAACGAUGAGAAAGAUUUGGUGACAAGAAGAUUUGACUUAAUGGUGCCUACUACGACGGUCUUUCGAUGAGUGCGACGAUUCGCGAUAGUCACGAUCGCGAGAAGAGUGAUGUCUUGAUCUAUCACCAUAAUCCUUCAGUCUAUCUCUUGACCGAUGAUGACUACGCUCUUUUAGUUUGUCUCUCUCCCUAUCACUCUCCUUGUCAGAAUCUCUGCCUCUGUCUCUGUGAGACCUACUACUGGCCCUGUCCCUCUCUCUACCUCGUUCCUUCUCUCUAUCACUCUCUCCUACUUUACUUCUUCCCUCCCUCGAGUCUCCCACAAUUGGCAGACUGUUUGACUCCGUAUCGCUCUUCUUCACAUCUGUAGCCAUUUCAUGAGGUGUGUUAUUCUUUCCAUCCUUAGACUCGUUAUUAACAGAUCCUGAAGUACCCUUCGUAUCAACAGCACCGUCAACUGCCGGUGAAACAUCCUGUAACACAGUGGCAAAGU
rnacentral:lncRNA from 1 species